UCUCGAUAGCGUAAAAGUUAACUCAAUUUUGUGUGGAGUUUUAAUGUUUGCUUAGUUUGCCCCUAGGGGCACUGUUCCAGCGGCAUACAAACUUCAGGUAACUUUUACGCUAUCGA
rnacentral:pre_miRNA from 9 species